AACACGGCUCCAUACCCGGGACGCCGUGGAGCGUCACGGCUUCGGGCUCGCCAUCGCGUCGGUGCGCGCGGCCCUCGGUUCCCGCUUCACGCGGUGUCGUGCGGUCGUCGCACUCCGACGCGCGGCAGGCGUUCGGCCGACUCAGAACUGGUACGGACCGGGGGAAUCUGACUGUCUAAUUAAAACAGAGCAUCGCGUAGACGGCCGAGCUGCACAGACGCGAUGUGAUUUCUGCCCAGUGCUCUGAAUGUUAAAGUGAAGAAAUUCAGCCAAGCGCGGGUAAACGGCGGGAGUAACUUAUUAUUAUUUUUAUUAUUAUUAUUAUUCAGGUCACUGCCUAGAGUUGAACUUGGAAUCUAGGGAUUAGUAGUCCGCGCUC
rnacentral:ncRNA from 1 species